GCAAGUCGAGCGCGAAAGGUCUUCGGACUGAGUAGAGCGGCGGACGGGUGAGUAACGCGUAGGAAUCUACCUGGUAGUGGGGGACAACUCGGGGAAACUCGAGCUAAUACCGCAUACGCCCUACGGGGGAAAGCGGGGGAUCUUCGGACCUCGCGCUAUCGGAUGAGCCUGCGUUGGAUUAGCUAGUUGGUGGGGUAAAAGCUCACCAAGGCGACGAUCUUUAGCUGGUUUGAGAGGACGAUC
rnacentral:rRNA from 1 species